CCGUAUGCACUUCCUCGCGGUUUGCAGUGGUCUGGUAGUACGAGGCUCGGCAGUCAAUGGACAUCUUGCAACCGCGAUUUUGACAUAAACGAACUGCUAUCUUUUUGUGCACCUUUCGAGCAGUAACCUGCGCCGUUUAUUGAAAGGGGGCCUCAGUUUUUGUCGUCUGCUGAACGUGGUUUUCUCGGCACAAAUCAACUUCAAUAAACUAGGCGACAGGGGAGAAGUCUAACAGAAGGCCUAUCAGACAGGUGCCAACUGGUUCUUCUAAAGGCAGGAAAGUCUUAGAGACUUAGCCAAAGUCAGGGAUGCUGAUCUACAUCUUGUGAGAAAAGAAAUAGCGACUGCUGCUGUUGCACAUACACAAUGGAAGUUGUCUAUUACAAGUCACAAAUUAUAGAUCUGACCACAAUGUUUGGACGUUAUUAUAAU